UGUGUGUUCUAGCCUCUCAAGUCCCAGGUAUUGGGUUCUAUGAAUCAGGUGGAGAGAGAGAGGGAGAGAGAGAAGGAUCCUACUAACGGGACUGCCUUCAGUCAGGACGCGGAUAGUGAGAGUGUCUGAUGUGACUGUGUACUUUGAACAAAGUGUCGCUAGCGUAACCAAAAUCUAGAUCUACUUUCACGUGGACUACACCAAUACCCUGAAGAAGGGGGGAAACAAACGCUUUUAAAAAGCUCCUUGACUCCGUGUUACACCAAGAACGGAAAAGAGAAUAUUUUUUAGAGAACAAAUGUAGAUCAUGGAUCAGAUCUCCAACAUUGCAGUACUCGAUGGAUACCAGCCUCAAACAUAGCAGUACUCGAUGGAUACCAGCCUCAAACAUAGCAGUACUCUAUAGAUACCAGCCUC
rnacentral:sRNA from 1 species